rnacentral:rRNA from 1 species
UACGAAGGGGGCUAGCGUUGCUCGGACUCACUGGGCGUAAAGCGCACGUAGGCGGAUUGUUAAGUCGGGGGUGAAAUCCUGGAGCUCAACUCCAGAACUGCCUUCGAUACUGGCGAUCUUGAGUCCGGGAGAGGUGAGUGGAACUCCGAGUGUAGAGGUGAAAUUCGUAGAUAUUCGGAAGAACACCAGUGGCGAAGGCGGCUCACUGGCCCGGUACUGACGCUGAGGUGCGAAAGCGUGGGGAGCAAACAGG